rnacentral:rRNA from 1 species
UGGGGAAUUUUCCGCAAUGGGCGAAAGCCUGACGGAGCAAGACCGCGUGAGGGAGGAAGGCCUUUGGGUUGUAAACCUCUUUUCUCAGGGAAGAAGAAAGUGACGGUACCUGAGGAAUCAGCCUCGGCUAACUCCGUGCCAGCAGCCGCGGUAAUACGGAGGAGGCAAGCGUUAUCCGGAAUUAUUGGGCGUAAAGCGUCCGCAGGUGGCCGUUCAAGUCUGUCGUCAAAACCCAGGGCUCAACUCUGGAUCGGCGGUGGAAACUGAAUAGCUAGAGUACGGUAGGGGCAGAGGGAAUUCCCAGUGUAGCGGUGAAAUGCGUAGAUAUUGGGAAGAACACCGGUGGCGAAGGCGCUCUGCUGGGCCGAAACUGACACUCAUGGACGAAAGCUAGGGGAGCGAAAGGGAUUAGAUACCCCCGUAGUCC